AAUGCUCUUCACCAGGGAGGACACGAAGGAUCCCUCAGCCCCACUGAGCACAGACACCAGGUUUCCAGAGGGCCGCUUCUGGCAGGCCAGCUUUGAGGGCAACAAAGAGAAUGAGAGGGAGCCUGAGACCUGCUGAGGGAGGGCAGGGCAAAGAGAAAAGUGUUCGCUCAUCCUGCUGAGAUUCAAGGAGAGUCACCCCUGGCUAGAAGCUACAAUCAUCCAAGUGGGAAGUAAUGUCUACCGAUGUUCUGAUUUAAGUGAAUGAAGGUCUUCUUUCCACCUCGGGAAAUCUUGAGGGUUAUGUAACAGCAGCUUUGAAAGGCUUGUGAGAUGUACUUUGUGCUAGUCCAUCUCAAAUCUUCACCGGCUGUACCAAGAACAGAAAAAAAAAGGAAUUUGGUGAGUACUUUAUAAAGCUAAAUUUACUCAAUUAAUUUCACCUCUGAUUAUGUUUUUCAUGUAUCUUGGGACAUUAGAAUGUCCUGUAUUUA
rnacentral:lncRNA from 1 species